rnacentral:tRNA from 1 species
UUAUAGAUGGCAGAAUAAAUGCAAAGGUUUUAAGCGCCUUAAAUGGGUUUUACCCUUUAUUUC